rnacentral:rRNA from 1 species
UGCAAGUCGAGCGGUAACAGAAAGUAGCUUGCUACUUUGCUGACGAGCGGCGGACGGGUGAGUAAUGCUUGGGAACAUGCCUUGAGGUGGGGGACAACAGUUGGAAACGACUGCUAAUACCGCAUAAUGUCUACGGACCAAAGGGGGCUUCGGCUCUCGCCUUUAGAUUGGCCCAAGUGGGAUUAGCUAGUUGGUGAGGUAAUGGCUCACCAAGGCAACGAUCCCUAGCUGGUUUGAGAGGAUGAUCAGCCACACUGGAACUGAGACACGGUCCAGACUCCUACGGGAGGCAGCAGUGGGGAAUAUUGCACAAUGGGCGAAAGCCUGAUGCAGCCAUGCCGCGUGUGUGAAGAAGGCCUUCGGGUUGUAAAGCACUUUCAGUCAGGAGGAAAGGGUGUGAGUUAAUACCUCACAUCUGUGACGUUACUGACAGAAGAAGCACCGGCUAACUCCGUGCCAGCAGCCGCGGUAAUACGGAGGGUGCGAGCGUUAAUCGGAAUUACUGGGCGUAAAGCGUACGCAGGCGGUUUGUUAAGCGAGAUGUGAAAGCCCCGGGCUCAACCUGGGAACUGCAUUUCGAACUGGCAAGCUAGAGUGUGAUAGAGGGUGGUAGAAUUUCAGGUGUAGCGGUGAAAUGCGUAGAGAUCUGAAGGAAUACCGAUGGCGAAGGCAGCCACCUGGGUCAACACUGACGCUCAUGUACGAAAGCGUGGGGAGCAAUGCAAGUCGAUGCAAGUCGAUGCAAGUCGAUGCAAGUCGAUGCAAGUCGAG